rnacentral:misc_RNA from 1 species
GCAGCAAUCCCUGGUAAAUCAUUGUCGAUGAGAUUUUGAGUCAGGGACCUCUGCCGAUGAGAGUUACGCUCGUAGCGAUGCAAGCGACCUGGCAUCCCCAAGCAAUCAGAGUUCUGAAAGCGUCUUUGAUUGUGUAAGGGUGGCGCAAACACGAUCGUUGGAGGCCGACACGGCCGAACCACACUGUAACGCCGACAGGUCGCGAUAAUUCCGCUGACCACAAAAAACCGAACAACUGUUAACAAUGGAUAUCUUGGUUCUC